rnacentral:rRNA from 1 species
AUUGAACGCUGGCGGCAGGCCUAACACAUGCAAGUCGAACGAGUGGCGGACGGGUGAGUAAUGUCUGGGAAACUGCCUGAUGGAGGGGGAUAACUACUGGAAACGGUAGCUAAUACCGCAUACCAUCGGAUGUGCCCAGAUGGGAUUAGCUAGUGGGUGGGGUAAAGGCUCACUGAGGCGACGAUCCCUAGCUGGUCUGAGAGGGUGACCAGCCACACUGGAACUGAGACACGGUCCAGACGCCUACGGGAGGCAGCAGUGGGGAAGAUUGCACAAUGGGCGCAAGCCUGAUGCAGCCAUGCCGCGUGUAUGAAGAAGGCCGUCGGGUUGUAAAGUACUUUCAGCAGGGAGGCGUUACCCGAAGAGGAAGCACCGGCUAACUCCGUGCCAGCCGCCGCGGUAAUAC